rnacentral:snRNA from 1 species
GUGCUCGCUUUGGCAGCACAUAUACUAAAAUUGUAAUGAUACAGAAAAGAUUAGCAUGGACCCUGCACAAGGAUAACAUACAAAUUUGUGAAGUGUUCUAUUUUAAA